rnacentral:rRNA from 1 species
UACGUAGGUGGCAAGCGUUGUCCGGAUUUACUGGGCGUAAAGAGCGCGCAGGCGGUCGUGCAAGUCGCGUGGGAAAGCCCCCGGCUCAACUGGGGAGGGUCACGCGAUACUGUUCGACUUGAAGGCAGGAGAGGGAAGUGGAAUUCCCGGUGUAGUGGUGAAAUGCGUAGAUAUCGGGAGGAACACCAGUGGCGAAGGCGACUUCCUGGCCUGUUCUUGACGCUGAGGCGCGAAAGCUAGGGUAGCAAACGGG